GACCUCCCUCCCUGUUGAGGAUCUGUCUGGAUCAGGUGAUGAUAAUGAAGGGUCUGGGUCUGGGGACUGGACAGAAGGCAACUCAGACCCCCAUGUCGUACCCACAACCAUCUCACAGUUUACCCCAGGAGGGAACAGAAUCAUCCCGGAUAUCAACUUGGGUGACACUAAAAGAGAAUUGUCUGAUGACUCGGAUAUAAUAUUUGAUUCCCAGCCAUCGCAUUUACCACCUCCAACUGGACAGGGGAGUCAUAGUUUUUUGGAGGACAAGGAGACUCUUGCAGCUGUUGUCAGUGGAGGCGUUGGGGCAUUGGUCCUGGCCCUUGUGCUUGUCGCUGCUGUGGUGUACAACAUGAAGAGGAAGGAGAAAGCAAAGUGUGGAGCAGACCAGAACACACACUGCAGCACAGUGUAUCACAAAGCACAGACAAAAGACGAGUUCAUAAUAGCAUAGCCCUACACACACUCACAAUGAUAAAAGAGGAGGAGAGGUUCUCUUGCUGUAGAGAGAAUAAAUAUAAUCCAGGGAGAGUGUGAGAGGGAAAUGAGAAAUAAUAAUAGUGGUGGGGAGAUGGUGGGGCAAGAGGAGGUAAACCCAAGUAGGUGCAAGAGCAAGAGCAAGAGCAAGAGAAGGAAGAAAUGGAAAGGGAAAGAAGACAGAGGGUGAAAUGGGAAAAUGAAAGGGAGGUGUGGAAAGCAGAGAAGUAAAGUAUGUAUGAGGGGAAAUAAGUAACAAGGGGAAAGAGAGUGAAGCGACAAAAUGUGUGGAUAUAUAGUCUGGUAGUAGUAGGAAAAUUAAAGAACAUAGACAAAAGACGGAAAGGGAAAUAAGACAAAUUUAUGAUUAAAUGUUUUAUCCAGUACUUUGCUAAACUUUGAGAGAGAGAGAGAGAGAGUGUGUGUGUGUGUGUUCAGUGCCAUAUGACUCAGGAAUUUAUUUUGUUUUAUGACUGGUGGACCUUCCUGAGAUGCUGUUCAACUUUGUGUUCCCAUUUCUUCAGAUAUGAUACUGUAUUUAUUAAUGGCAUAUGCCUUAAAAGGCCAGAGACAGAGUCGGGAUUGGCCAUUUGUAACAGUGCCCUUGCUAAAAUGUAGCACAAAUGUUUACUUUUAAAUCUCAUUAGUCAUUCACAAAAAUGUAUUAUUUUUUUACAAAAAUUCACUCCAUGUAAUCACUUGCUUAAACUACAAAACUAUUUCAUGUAGUAUACGGGUUAUAGACUACAUUAAAAACUAGACAUCUGUAUUGUAUUCUGAUGUUUUAAGUGGGCUUGACAACCUCUGUGUUUGUAGGCUUGAUUCUUUUGAAUAGUAAAGGAC
ensembl:lncRNA